rnacentral:snRNA from 1 species
GGAUGUGAGGGCGAUCUGGCUGCGACAUGUUGUCACCCCACUGAUCGCCAGGGUUGAUUCCGCUGAUCUGGCUGGCUGGCGGUCCCCUUCCUCCCUCACUGCUCCACGUGCCUCCACCCAAAGCUGUGCGUUCGAUCAAAGACGACCUUCCCGCUAGAGGAGUAUAAUGGAGUAUAUGUGGAGUAUAUAUAUAGGAUUACCUCCGUCAAGGGUAUAUGAGUAGCUGCCUCCCUGCUAGAACCUCCAAACAAGUUCUCCAUUUUCUUUAAAAGCAGCAACCGAAUUGUAGUCCAGGGUUUGUGUCAUGGGAUGAGAGACUGCUGAUUGUGGGUAGGGCUCCUCA